rnacentral:lncRNA from 1 species
CUAGGAUGAGUUGGCUGUUGCAAAAUCAUUGUAUUCACUUUCUGUUAAUAAUACAAUUGAACCAUCAAAUCAGCCUGUCGUUUGAGUUUUGCUCUAAGUAAAUCCUGCAGUAAAUCCAAAUGGCUAGGAGGCCACAGUAUAGCAGAGGUGCCCACGACGGUUCGGCAGCAGCACAAGGAGAGCCCACCGGCCGUGAAUUGGCCGUGAGCUUGGGUGCUCUGUCAGCGUCACUCACAACUUUCGACGCACGUUCAGCACCAAGAUUUUGGCUGAUGCAGAAGCAUACAGGCGUGUAAUUCCAGGUAUGAAGCUGUCGAUUCGUCACUAACAGGCCAACGGAGCCAGAAACGAGCCUGCAACAGCAACUAAUCCCCUUAUUUUGUGCACGCGGUGACUUGAUUAACAUUCUUAAUUCUGCCUGAUGCUUGCAGAUCGAUGUACAUGUCGGCAGCCAAUCCUGACUUCUGCAUAGGCCUCAGCCAUGGAAAGGAAUCCCUGCUUUAUGAAGUUUCAAAGGCAAGGCGAUCAUGACCUUCACUGAAUUAUGCUUUUAGCCACUGCACGUAGAGGCUAUCCACAUUCUGGGCACCUAAACUAUGAUUGUUAUGGAUCAUGUAUUUCUUCGUGGAUCAUGU